CCUCCCCCCCCGGGCCCGCGAUCCCCGUGACUAGCGCGGGUCGUGCGAUGCGUUGUGUGUGCCUUUUUUUCUUUUUUUUUUUUUUUUUUUUUUCCGGUGGUGUCUUGCCGUCCCCUGGCUUUUCCGGAGGGAAGCCGAUCGCUGCGAGGCGGGCGAAAGCCAGUGGCCCGUGGCAUGGUCGGUGGCAUUUUCUCGCACGCUCGGAUGGCGUUUCCCUGGCGAGAGGGGGUGGGGAGCGAAACACGCGUUCCCCCCCCCCUGCCCAGCGGUCCCAUCCUGCCCGUUGUCUCACUAAGGGAGCCAGCCGUAGUCCGCCGCCUCGGGAGCCGUCGGGGAGGCUCGGCGGCGCCAAGCCGCGGAGAGAGGGCCUCUCGGGGACGUGUCCCGGACGCUCGCCACCUGCGCCCCGAGGGGGGGGGGUGGUGGAGCCGGCCGGCGUCGUGUAUACGCCGGGUUUGCCGUUGGUGUUGACUCAGGAGCAAGCGUGUGGCCGUGGGGCCCCGGUCGCCGUUGGCGGCCAUCCUUUCCUGUCUGUGUCCGAUCGAUGAGGCUUUUCGGGUGGCGUCGGAGAGGGCCCCCGGCGGCCCGGCUCUUCCGGGGCUCUCUGUCACGGGGAAGCCACGGUAGCGCCUGGUGCUCGGGCAAGGGCGGUCUCCUUUCCGGUUCGCUUCCCGUCGCAGGCGAGGUGACGCCCCUCCCGCUGCUGGGAGGGCGUCUUUACCGUCCCGGGCUGUGUGACGGCCGCGUGGCCCCGUGAGCCCUCAGGUGUCCUUCCAGAAAACGAUGCGAGGUGUUGCUGGUGCCGGCCCCGGUCCGGGCAGCUGCCCCGUGGGUGCCGGCCGCGAGCAGCGCUGGGCGGCGGUGCGGCUGGAGCCGAGCCGAGCCGCAGUGGCCAAGAAGAGAGCGUGAGAGAAGGGCGGAAACGAAAGGGGGAUGGCGCGAACGGGGGACGAGAGCCCGUUCCGCGCACGCGCUCCUUGGUCGCGCCGCCGCCUGCUGCCGAGCGAAGCCGCCCCGGCCAAAGGGGCCCCGGUGUCCGGGCCGCGCCCGCCUCGUCGGGUCGCUGUCUCCUCUAGCACGUCCGGUGCUUUGUUUGUUUUUUCCGCACGGCCCGGCGGGGGGGGAAGGGGGACGUGUCGGAGCGGGCUCCGCUCCCGGAGCGGGCCCCUCCCCUUCGGCCCCGGACCUCCUCGCCGGCGGCCCGUCGCGCUCAGCCGCGACCGGGUCGGCGGGCGGGCCGGCCUCGGGGGGCGGGUCAGCCCCCAGCCGAGACCCGUUCCGCGCGCCGCGCGCGCGUGACUCGAGCGCGAGGCCGAGUCUCGAACGGGGUGUCGCGGCCCCCAUCCCCCCCCUUCCGCGAGAGCGAGAGAGAGAGAGAGAGGGAAGGAAGGAGGAAAAGGGGGGGGGGGCAGCCCAGCCCCCGCGUCGUCCGAAGCCGAAGCUGCGCAGCGGUCCCGGCUCCUUGCCCGCGGCGUCGCGGGAAGGGCCGGCCGCCGGGGUCGGCCGUCGCCGCGGGGCGUCCCGCCUCUCCCCCCGCCGCGCGGCGGGCGGAGGCGGGUUAGCCCCGCGCCUGCGCGGUGCCGUUCCCCGCCCCAGGCGCCGCCGGGCCGCCACGUCGCCGGCCGCCGCCGCCGCCGCCGGCGCCCGUCGCCGCCACGCCGCCGCCGCCGGCACGCCCGUGAUGCCGCUCCCGCGGGUCGGAGCGGUGAAAGGAGCCGGGGCGGUCAGGGGUUGGCGGGGGCGGUCCCGCCGGCGGCGGGUCCGGGCGUCCGCGCGCUGGCGCGCCUUGCCGCGGCGCCGCCGUGGGUGGCGGC
rnacentral:misc_RNA from 1 species